AACGCAUAUGGCACCCGAGACUUCGGUCGAGGGUAUGUCUGUCUCAGAGUCGGCGUAAAAACAUCCCCAAAGGAAGGCUUGGCCUCUCCCGCGGGGGAUCUGGCCCCCCCGGAGGCGGGUAUAUUCCCGCUUUCCUCCGGGUCGGCUGAAGGUUAGAGACGGGGGACCGCUCGCGCGGACAGCCACGAUUUUGGUGGGAGGACCUCGCGUCCGCACUAUCGAUCGGGCCGUCCAUCUCGAAGCGUGCCGGUCGUUUGGGCCCCGCCACUGCAGGAAAAAGCAACAAUCUCAGUUCCGACCUGAGAUCAGGCAAGAUCACCCGCUGAACUUAA
rnacentral:misc_RNA from 1 species